UACGGAGGAUCCAAGCGUCAUCCGGAUUUAUUGGGUUUAAAGGGUGCGUAGGCGGCCUAUUAAGUCAGGGGUGAAAGACGGUAGCUUAACUAUCGCAGUGCCCUUGAUACUGAUGGGCUUGAAUGGACUAGAGGUAGGCGGAAUGAGACAAGUAGCGGUGAAAUGCAUAGAUAUGUCUCAGAACACCGAUUGCGAAGGCAGCUCACUAAAGUAUGAUUGACGCUGAGGCACGAAAGCGUGGGGAUCAAACAGG
rnacentral:rRNA from 1 species